CCUACGGGUGGCAGCAGUGGGGGAUAUUGCACAAUGGGGGAAACCCUGAUGCAGCGACGCCGCGUGAGUGAAGAAGUAUUUCGGUAUGUAAAGCUCUAUCAGCAGGGAAGAAAAUGACAGUACCUGACCAAGAAGCCCCGGCUAACUACGUGCCAGCAGCCGCGGUAAUACGUAGGGGGCAAGCGUUAUCCGGAUUUACUGGGUGUAAAGGGAGCGUAGACGGUUAUGUAAGUCUGGAGUGAAAGCCCGGGGCCCAACCCCGGGACUGCUUUGGAACUGCAGGGCUGGAGUGCGGGAGGGGCAGGCGGAAUUCCUGGUGUAGCGGUGAAAUGCGUAGAUAUCAGGAGGAACACCGGCGGCGAAGGCGGCCUGCUGGACCGCGACUGACGUUGAGGCUCGAAAGCGUGGGGAGCGAACAGGAUUAGAUACCCUGGUAGUC
rnacentral:rRNA from 1 species